rnacentral:rRNA from 1 species
CGUAGAUGAACGCUGGCGGCAGGCCGUAACACAUGCAAGUCGAGCGGUAGCACAGAGAGCUUGCUCUCGGGUGACGAGCGGCGGACGGGUGAGUAAUGUCUGGGAAACUGCCUGAUGGAGGGGGAUAACUACUGGAAACGGUAGCUAAUACCGCAUAACGUCGCAAGACCAAAGAGGGGGACCUUCGGGCCUCUUGCCAUCAGAUGUGCCCAGAUGGGAUUAGCUAGUAGGUGGGGUAACGGCUCACCUAGGCGACGAUCCCUAGCUGGUCUGAGAGGAUGACCAGCCACACUGGAACUGAGACACGGUCCAGACUCCUACGGGAGGCAGCAGUGGGGAAUAUUGCACAAUGGGCGCAAGCCUGAUGCAGCCAUGCCGCGUGUAUGAAGAAGGCCUUCGGGUUGUAAAGUACUUUCAGCGAGGAGGAAGGCGUUAAGGUUAAUAACCUUAGCGAUUGACGUUACUCGCAGAAGAAGCACCGGCUAACUCCGUGCCAGCAGCAGC